GACGUAGGGGACGAGCGUUGUCCGGAUUCAUUGGGCGUAAAGCGCGCGCAGGCGGCUUGGUAAGUCGGAUGUGAAAUCCCGAGGCUCAACCUCGGGUCUGCAUCCGAUACUGCCCGGCUAGAGGUAGGUAGGGGAGAUCGGAAUUCCUGGUGUAGCGGUGAAAUGCGCAGAUAUCAGGAGGAACACCGGCGGUGUAGACGGCUCUCUGGACCGUAACUGACGCUGAGAUACGAAAGCGUGGGUAGCAAACAGG
rnacentral:rRNA from 1 species